ACGCGCGCUGUGUGUGCGGCGGCGUAAUUCGCUACUCGUAUAGCCGUCUCGCUUCUUCUUGUGUGUGCUUUACAGUUGCCCACCGCUUCAAGAACAUUGCUGCUCACACACACGUCAGUCUGUGGCAAACAAUUGGAGGGGGAGGAUGUGUCGGUUUGCUCCAGAAAUCGUGUGUGAUUUUGGUGUUCUGGAUUUGGUUCCAUCGCUGUUUGUUUUGGUGAAUUUGAAAAGGUAAGAAUCAUCAACCGAUGCAAAAGUGUGAGAGUAAGAUGAUGCUGAUGGUGACUGAUACUUUUUUUUUGUUUCUUUUCCUGCUUUUAUCCACUGAUGGCGUCGAGCAUUGCCGAGGAUGUAAUCGAAUGCGGAAUAUUCUAAACGAGGAGCUUCAUUCCGGAUUUUGUUUGCAAUAAACGCUGAACUCAUCCUCCAGCUUACAACGAACGGUCAACGGAUGAGGAAGGAGAGGAGGGACGGCAAAGGUACACGCACAAACGGGCACACAUCAGCCUUGUCGGAGAACGAGAACACGGGAGGGGGAGAUCGGCAACGUAUAGAGCAUCUUCAUUUACGCUCCCUCGUGCGUUCGUGCGUGCGUGCGCUCGUGCGUCUAUGUGUGUUUUUGCGUAUGUGUGUUCAUGCCUGCGUGCGUGGCUGUGUGUGUUUUUGCCGCCUCGCAUAACGAGAUCCUACGGGAUCACCUUGCGAAAAACACCAAGAAAGGGGUAGGUGUGUGUGUGUGUGUGUGUGUGUGUGUGUGUGUGUGUGUGUGUGUGUGUGUGUGUGUGUGUGUGCUUGCAUGCGUGCGUGAUUGUGUGUGUGGUUUUUGCUAUUUCGCGAUCUCCUACGGAAUCACCUUCCCAAGGACGCAAAAACCGACGGCGGCCUGUGUAAUCUGAGUUCCCUACAAAGCUCUCCACAAAGCUCUCGUUUGCAGUCUUGUCGAGAGCUUCGCCACAGGCGCCCGAACCAUCCGCCACGCACACAUCUAAAUGUUCUGGUUUCUUCAGCCGCUCACGCAUACAAUGUGUUUGCUCCACCCCCUUUUUCGGAUUGCUUAUAGAAAUGAUGAAGCUGUUCACAUUUGCUUUACACACACAUGCAUGCUGUUUAUUGAAUAAUAUCCCUCUCCCUUCCCACGAGUGUUUUGGCAUACUCCCGCUGUGUAGACGGCAGAGCGCUUUCCCCCUUCCAAAUUUACCGUUCUUUCUCCUCUCGUUCUUCCUUCCUCCUACUGCGCUCGGGGUACCAUCCGUGCUGCGCGUGUUCAGCUAGCUUCAGUUUCGUGAUGACGUCAUGAACAGGAGCUGCGCGUGUUGAACCGGCUUCUGUUAAGUAAUGACGUCCUCACCGGGGGCUGAAUGAAGCAAUAAUGAAUAUUGUUGACGAGGCUAGCAGGUAGUCGUUGAUAAAUAGCGCACACACCUGUAACUUUUUAGACGCCAAGGGUUAGUUGAAUGUACCUGCACAAGCACACAGCAAGAAACUUACCUCAACAAUUUGCUAGGAUAAAUCAUUCCAUAACUGAGGAAGAAGGAACACGGCACAAAACGUAAAUGAGCAAAGUACGUUGCACAAGAAAUCGCACCUCACUUCAGUACAUCCUUCCACAGGGAAAGUUCUGGACAGACUGAGGAUGCCUAACACCCGGAUGAGCGCGAUAGCAGAAAAAUCAUGGUGGAUCGAGAGGGAUGGGUAGACUCGGUCCAGCGAUAUCCGCUGGUAAAUGCAUGUGUGUGUGUGACGAACGAAAGACUUCAAACCCCGCUUCCCCCGUAUUUCAUCCAUAAUUUUUCGUCACACGCACACACCUCUGUACGGGCGGCGGUUUGCCGUCCAAAAUCUAGAGAGAGAAGACAGGGCCUCUCGCUUUGGCACACAGCAAAAUCUCUCAACAACUUCGGCUCUGCUACUUGGGUUGCGAAAACACACGAGGGGGAGGGGUUGGGUGUGAGUGUGUGCUUGCCUGGGUGCGUGCGUGGCUGUGUGUGUGUGUUUUUGCGUUCGCGUUCUCCUACGGGAUCACCUUGCGAAAAACACCAUGGGGAGGAGGAGAUUUGUGUGUUGUUUUUUUUUUUCUUUGCCGUUUUGCACUCUCCCGCGGGUCUCAUGUGAUCGAUUGUUUUUUUUUUGGUUUUUCAAUAAGAAAAAAAUCUUUAAAAAAUACCAGAGGGGAGGGUGUGUGUGUGAAAAAUAAAAGAAAAUAUGUUAAACGAAGUUAAAACUGAGUCUGAACUCAUUGCAAUCCGAAACGAAGUGAGGGGGGUCAUAAAAUGUAGUAUACAUGCAUGCAACAUGUAUCGCGCCGCCGCGACGUUUCUCGCUUUCAGCCCGAUAGGAGCUUCUAAGGGAUUAUUUUAAUGGGCGCCCAGAUAGAGCCCGAUGAGACCGAAAUCGCGUGGAUAAUGGUACCGGGGAGUUCUCUACCGAAGGUGUAUCAACUUUGAUAGGCAGUUCCUACCGAAGUUAGGCUCGGGUGUUUAGCCGAAAUGCUACAAAAGAGAAAGAAAAAAAUCUCUCGUAUGC